rnacentral:rRNA from 1 species
CCCUUAGAUGUUCGGGGCCGCACGCGCGCUACACUGAAGGACUCAGCGUGUCUCUCCCCCUAUCCCGAAAGGGAUGGGCAACCCGUUGGACCUCCUUCGUGCUAGGGAUUGGGGUUUGCAAUUAUCCCCCAUGAACGAGGAAUUCCCAGUAAGCGCGAGUCAUCAGCUCGCGUUGAUUACGUCCCUGCCCUUUGUACACACCGCCCGUCGCUACUACCGAUUGGAUGGUUUAGUGAGACCCUCGGAUCGGUCCCGACUCGGGGUGGGCUUCUGCCCCGGUCGUGGUUUCGCCGAGAAGACGGUCAAACUUGACUAUCUAGAGGAAGUAAAAGUCGUAACA